rnacentral:rRNA from 1 species
GGACGAACGCUGGCGGCGUGCCUAAUACAUGCAAGUCGCGCGAACGGAUGGAGAGCUUGCUCUCUUGAAGUUAGCGGCGGACGGGUGAGUAACACGUGGGCAACCUGCCUGACAGAUCGGGAUAACGCUUGGAAACGGGUGCUAAUACCGGAUAGGCAAACGAGAGGCAUCUCUUGUUUGGGAAAGGCGCUAUGGCGUCACUGUCAGAUGGGCCCGCGGCGCAUUAGCUGGUUGGUGAGGUAACGGCUCACCAAGGCGACGAUGCGUAGCCGACCUGAGAGGGUGACCGGCCACACUGGGACUGAGACACGGCCCAGACUCCUACGGGAGGCAGCAGUAGGGAAUCUUCCACAAUGGGCGCAAGCCUGAUGGAGCAACGCCGCGUGAGUGAUGAAGGCCUUCGGGUUGUAAAACUCUGUCUUUUGGGACGAACGAACAAGAGAGGGAAUGCUCUUGUUGUGACGGUACCAGAGGAGGAAGCCACGGCUAACUAC